CCUACGGGGGGCAGCAGUGGGGAAUUUUGGACAAUGGGCGCAAGCCUGAUCCAGCUAUUCCGCGUGUGGGAAGACGGCCUUCGGGUUGUAAACCACUUUUGUAGAGAACGAAAAGUCUAUUGAUAAUACCGAUAGAUGAUGACGGUACUCUAAGAAUAAGCACCGGCUAACUACGUGCAAGCAGCCGCGGUAAUACGGAGGGUGCGAGCGUUAAUCGGAAUUACUGGGCGUAAGGGGUGUGCAGGCGGUUUUGCAAGAUGGAUGUGAAAGCCCCGGGCUUAACCUGGGAAAGCCAUACAUGACUGCAAGACUAGAGUGCGUCAGAGGGGGGUGGAAUUCCAAGUGGAGCAGUGAAAUGCGUAGAUAUUUGGAAGAACACCGAUGGCGAAGGCAGCCCCCUGGGACGCAACUGACGCUCAUACACGAAAGCGUGGGGAGCAAACAGGAUUAGAUACCCUUGUAGUC
rnacentral:rRNA from 1 species